GGGGGUAUAGCUCAGUGGUAGAGCGCCUGCUUAGCAUGCAUGAGGUCCUGGGUUCAAUCCCCCGCACCUCAU
rnacentral:tRNA from 1 species